GGGGUUGUGGCUCAGUGGUAGCGUGCUUGCUUUGAAAGCAUGGGACACUGGGUUUGAUCCUCAACACCCCA
rnacentral:tRNA from 1 species